rnacentral:rRNA from 1 species
GACGAACGCUGGCGGCGUGCCUAAUACAUGCAAGUAGAACGCACAGGAUGCACCGUAGUUUACUACACCGUAUUCUGUGAGUUGCGAACGGGUGAGUAACGCGUAGGUAACCUGCCUGGUAGCGGGGGAUAACUAUUGGAAACGAUAGCUAAUACCGCAUAAGAACAUUUACUGCAUGGUAGAUGUUUAAAAGGUGCAAAUGCAUCACUACCAGAUGGACCUGCGUUGUAUUAGCUAGUUGGUGAGGUAACGGCUCACCAAGGCAACGAUACAUAGCCGACCUGAGAGGGUGAUCGGCCACACUGGGACUGAGACACGGCCCAAACUCCUACGGGAGGCAGCAGUAGGGAAUCUUCGGCAAUGGGGGGAACCCUGACCGAGCAACGCCGCGUGAGUGAAGAAGGUUUUCGGAUCGUAAAGCUCUGUUGUUAAGGAAGAACGUGUGUGAGAGUGGAAAGUUCACACAGUGACGGUACUUAACCAGAAAGGGACGGCUAACUACGUGCCAGCAGCCGCGGUAAUACGUAGGUCCCGAGCGUUGUCCGGAUUUAUUGGGCGUAAAGCGAGCGCAGGCGGUUAGAUAAGUCUGAAGUGAAAGGCAGUGGCUCAACCAUUGUAGGCUUUGGAAACUGUUUAACUUGAGUGCAGAAGGGGAGAGUGGAAUUCCAUGUGUAGCGGUGAAUGCGUAGAUAUAUGGAGGAACACCGGUGGCGAAAGCGGCUCUCUGGUCUGUAACUGACGCUGAGGCUCGAAAGCGUGGUGAAGCGAACAGG